GGAUGACCUGCUUACUGGGCUACCCAUUACUGAUCUUGAGAACACAUGUUGUGUUGAACUUGCUGUCUCACCAAAGCCACUUGCCCACAGACCCAUCCCAAGCGGGAUCCUUGAAUGGUGCUUUCCAUGACUGAAGAACCCUUGAUCAGCAAGGCAUGCCAAGGUAUUGUAAAGAGAGAGAGGGAAUAGAGUUGAUGGAGUGAUAGUUGUUUGAUUGAAACAGGCAUGGUUCUACAUUGGGCGGUAAACUUAGUAUCGGGAAUAAUAACAAUAAUUUGACUGAUUUAUUGUUGUUAUGUAGUUUCUAAAAGUAAUUGAACAAAUUUAAAACUACGGUUUUUAUGACUAAUUCUAAGUGUACAACCAUGCCUGGAUUCGGAAUCCCUGUUCCGUCCUAACCCCCCAGAAAGGGAUGUAAGUGCUCAUGUGAUUGUCUGAUUUCCUUCUUUGUUUAAACUACAUUUUGUAAUUGAAAUGUCAGUCAAAGAGAUGAUUGCACUUACAUCCCUGCUAAGCUUCGUAUGGACAACUGAACAAUGGUAUAUCCAGUUUUUGGUCGAGGGAGCACCAUUUUUAAAUUUUUUUUUGGCUUGAAAAGUGGCAUUUGUUUUUCUUGUUAAAGUGUUUCAAAGCAUGAAGGUAUUAGGAUACUAUGAGGUUCAUUUUGAAACAUAUAAAAAUCAUGGUGGCAUUUUCCUCCUCCCUGCUGGAUAUACAACACUGCAACCAUAACCACAACAAAUACAUACUGGUAUUUAGUGUCAUUGGUUUCAGGUAUUUUGUUGUCAUGAUUAUACUUUUUGUUAAUGAAUUAAAUGAAACAUUUAAUGUUAAUAAAAUGGAGAUCACAACAAUGGCUUUGCACAUCUUCCAGGCUUAAACUUCCUUUCCCUGAACGUUUUCAAGUUUAUUUUCCAAAAAUUGAGUUGUUUUUCUUUUUCUGUACAGACGUAUGUGUGACCCCAAAUCAUGUUUGUUGCCCUUUUUUGUGUGGAUUACGGGUUGAAAAGUAAUCAAAUUAAAAAAGAGUUUGAAAGUAAUUUGUACAAUUAUAAGCUGAUAAGCGAACUCUUAUAAACGGGAAAAGUCACUCGUUGAAGAGUUUCAUGGAAAGGAGGUUUUUGUGCAUUUUGUGUUAGAGACAAGGCAUUCUUUCACAGUUAUGUUAUGAACAGCAUGUUAUUAUGCGUAUCUGCCUUUGGUUACUGGAAUAAUGUUAUGGAGUAAAGUUUGGCUACUGGAACGAAGUCUGGAAAUCUAGAAAACCGAGCACAUCAAGUUUUGACGAUGCGAUACCCCUGCCAGUCUAAUUUUCUUGGACAGAUGAGAAGAGCUAUGUGGUGAUUCAACAGAGGAGCCAGAUGAUGAAUUGGACUAAAACACUGUGCAUCCAUCCAGGGUGUGUAUUUAUCGAUCCUUUUUUUUUUUUUAGAAAUCAUCUCCAUGUCAAGAGAUCAUCAGAACUGAAAUUAGAAUAACAGUCAUUACCUGUGCUACAUUGUGUUGGCUUUAUGGCUAUUGAACUAUUUGCUUCAUGAACUAAUGAGACCAUGCCAUACUGAUUGUAUGCAUGUAGUUUUUGGUUAUUUCGUUGAUUAAUGUUGGCCGAAAACCCAUUAUUGGUGAUGAUGUAACCGCUAUAUUUAGAGCCUCAACCCGAAAAAAAAACACACCUAAAAAAACCCCCCAAAGCUGCAAAGUUUAACUUACAUGUAACAUUUCAAUGAAAAAAUAAUUACCGAAUCAAUCACCCUUUGCUGUACCACAAGGUUUGACUGUAUAUUACUUUUUGUUUUGUAAUUGUUAUUGAAAGUUUGUUUUUGUGGUUUUGAAAUAUCACAUUCUGUGCUUGUUUAAACUUUGACUCGGGGUAUUUAAAAGUGUAUUUGACCGAUAAUUGUUCUUUUAAUGUAAAAUUAUGUAUUGAGGUGACCUGAA
rnacentral:lncRNA from 1 species